rnacentral:sRNA from 1 species
UCUAAACGAUGAAUUGCUUGUAGGUCC